GAUGAACGCUGGCGGCGUGCCUAAUACAUGCAAGUCGAACGAGGUGCUUUUGUAGCAAUACGGAAGUAUCCUAGUGGCGAACGGGUGAGUAACGCGCUGGUGACCUACCCCAAAGUGUGGGAUAACAGUCCGAAAGGAUUGCUAAUACCGCAUGUGGUUGUCGGAUUUAGAAACUGGCAUCUAAAGGAGCAAUUCGCUUUGGGAGGGACCUGCGUCCCAUCAGCUAGUUGGUGAGGUAAUGGCUCACCAAGGCUACGACGGGUAGGGGACCUGAGAGGGUGGCCCCCCACAAUGGAACUGAAACACGGUCCAUACACCUACGGGUGGCAGCAGUAGGGAAUAUUGCACAAUGGGCGAAAGCCUGAUGCAGCAACGCCGCGUGCGCGAAGAAGGCCCUCGGGUCGUAAAGCGCUUUUCUGAGAGAUGAGAAAGGCAGUAUCUCAGGAAUAAGUCUCGGCUAACUACGUG
rnacentral:rRNA from 1 species